UAAGACUGGGGUGUUAGAAGGUAGCAGUCUUGAGAGGUUACACCAUGGCCUGGAAUCUGCUCCUCCUCAGCCUUCUCACUCAGGGCACAGGUGA
rnacentral:pre_miRNA from 1 species